AAUGAACGCUGGCGGCAUGGAUCAGGCAUGCAAGUCGAGCGGGCGAUGUCUCUUUAUUGAGGUAUUGCCAGCGGCGGAAGGGUGAGUAUCGCGUGAGUAAUCUGGCUUGAAGUCGGGGACACUCCGGGGAAACCCGGGUUAAUCCCUGAUGUGGCCGUGGUUUGUUUUUUUUGUAGCUGCGGUUAAAGGUUUUUUUAAUCGCUUCAAGAUGAGCUCGCGUCCUAUCAGCUUGUUGGUGAGGUAAUGGCUCACCAAGGCUUCGACAGGUAGCUGGUCUGAGAGGACGGUCAGCCACACUGGGACUGAGACACUGCCCAGACUCCUACGGGAGGCUGCAGUCGAGAAUUUUCCGCAAUGCGGGAAACCGUGACGGAGCGAUGCCGCGUGCGGGAUGACGGCCUUCGGGUUGUAAACCGCUGUCACUCGGGACGAAUAUUUGCCGGUACCGGGAGAGGAAGCCACGGCUAACUACGUGCCAGCAGCCGCGGUAAGACGUAGGUGGCGAGCGUUAUUCGGAUUUAUUGGGCGUAAAGGGUCCGCAGGGGGCGGCGCAAGUCUGGUGUGAAAGUCCGGGGCUCAACUCCGGGAUGGCGCUGGAGACUGCGCGGCUAGAGUGCCGGAGAGGAGAAUGGAAUUCCUGGUGUAGCGGUGGAAUGCGUAGAUAUCAGGAGGAACGCCGAGAGCGCAGGCAGUUCUCUGGACGGCUACUGACCCUGAGGGACGAAAGCUGGGGGAGCGAACAGGAUUAGAUACCCUGGUAGUCCCGGCUGCAAACGUUGUGCACUGGGUGUAGGCAGAUUUGGUCCUGUCUGUGCCUGAGCUAACGCGUUAAGUGCACCGCCUGGGGAGUACGGCCACAAGGCUAAAACUCAAAGGAAUUGACGGGGGCCCGCACAAGCGGUGGAGCAUGUGGCUUAAUUCGAGGCAACGCGAAGAACCUUACCUGGGCUUGACAUGGUUUCGACGGUCCCGGAAACGGGAUUUCCCUUUUGGGCGGGAUCACAGGUGCUGCAUGGCUGUCGUCAGCUCGUGCCGUGAGGUGUUCGGUUAAGUCCGGCAACGAGCGCAACCCAUGCCGUCAGUUACCAGCGGGUGAUGCCGGGGACUCUGGCGGGACUGCCCGUGUCAAGCGGGAGGAAGGCGUGGAUGACGUCAAGUCCGUAUGGCCCUUAUGCCCAGGGCUGCACACGUGCUACAAUGGCCGGUCCAGCGAGCGGCGGCCCCGCGAGGGGGAGCCAAUCUUGAAAACCGGCCUCAGUUCGGAUUGCAGUCUGCAACUCGACUGCAUGAAGUUGGAAUCGCUAGUAAAGGCGUAUCAGCCACGGCGCCUUGAAUACGUUCCCGGGCCUUGUACACACCGCCCGUCACAUCACGGAAGCCGGCGGCACCCGAAGUCGUUGGUCUCAUCCGGCUUGUUCGGAGAGGCGGCGCCGAAGGUGUGGCUGGUAACUGGGAUG
rnacentral:rRNA from 1 species